rnacentral:rRNA from 1 species
UACGGAGGAUGCAAGCGUUAUCCGGAAUGAUUGGGCGUAAAGAGUCCGUAGGUGGCGAUUCAAGUCUAUUGUUAAAGAGCGAGGCUUAACUUCGUCAAGGCCGUAGAAACUGAAGAGCUAGAGAGCAGUAGGGGCAGAAGGAAUUCCUGGUGUAGCGGUGAAAUGCGUAGAGAUCAGGAAGAACACCGGUGGCGAAAGCGUUCUGCUGGGCUGCGACUGACACUGAGGGACGAAAGCUAGGGGAGCGAAUGGG